rnacentral:tRNA from 1 species
GUUAUUGUAGCUCAGUUGGUUAGAGCAUCGUGCUGAUAAUGCCAAGGUUGGAAGUUCAAUCCCCGUAUGGGACA